CCUACGGGUGGCAGCAGUGAGGAAUAUUGGUCAAUGGGCGCGAGCCUGAACCAGCCAAGUAGCGUGAAGGAUGACUGCCCUACGGGUUGUAAACUUCUUUUAUAAAGGAAUAAAGUGCGGCACGUGUGCCUUUUUGUAUGUACUUUAUGAAUAAGGAUCGGCUAACUCCGUUCCAGCAGCCGCGGUAAUACGGAGGAUCCGAGCGUUAUCCGGAUUUUUUGGGUUUAAAGGGAGCGUAGAUGGGUUUUUAAGUCAGUUGUGAAAGUUUGCGGCUCAACCGUAAAAGUGCAAUUGAUACUGGCAGUCUUGAGUAGAGUUGAGGUAGGCGGAAUGCGUGGUGUAGCGGGGAAAUGCUUAGAUAUCACGAAGAACUCCGAUUGCGAAGGCAGCUUACUAAACUGCAACUGACAUUGAUGCUCGAAAGUGUGGGUAUCAAACAGGAUUAGAUACCCUAGUAGUC
rnacentral:rRNA from 1 species